GACGAACGCUGGCGGCGUGCUUAACACAUGCAAGUCGAACGGAAAGGCCCUGCUUUUGUGGGGUGCUCGAGUGGCGAACGGGUGAGUAACACGUGAGUAACCUGCCCUUGACUUUGGGAUAACUUCAGGAAACUGGGGCUAAUACCGGAUAGGAGCUCCUGCUGCAUGGUGGGGGUUGGAAAGUUUCGGCGGUUGGGGAUGGACUCGCGGCUUAUCAGCUUGGUGGUGGGGUAGUGGCUUACCAAGGCUUUGACGGGUAGCCGGCCUGAGAGGGUGACCGGCCACAUUGGGACUGAGAUACGGCCCAGGCUCCUACGGGGGGGAGCAGGGGGGAAUAUUGCACAAUGGGCGGAAGCCUGAUGCAGCAACGCCGCGUGCGGGAUGACGGCCUUCGGGUUGUAAACCGCUUUCGCCUGUGACGAAGCGUGAGUGACGGUAAUGGGUAAAGAAGCACCGGCUAACUACGUG
rnacentral:rRNA from 1 species